rnacentral:rRNA from 1 species
CACGUAGGGCGCGAGCGUUGUCCGGAAUUAUUGGGCGUAAAGAGCUCGUAGGCGGCCUGUUGCGUCCGCUGUGAAAGCCCGGGGCUUAACCCCGGGUCGGCAGUGGAUACGGGCAGGCUAGAGGUAGGUAGGGGAGAAUGGAAUUCCCGGUGUAGCGGUGAAAUGCGCAGAUAUCGGGAGGAACACCGAUGGCGAAGGCAGCUCGCUGGGACGUGACUGACGCUGAGACGCGAAAGCGUGGGGAGCAAACAGG